GCAUUAAUGGGGUAGUGGUAACCUGGGUCGUUGCCAAUCAAAUGAUUCGACCCGCCGCGAGUUCGAUUCUCGCUUAAUGCA